GAUGAACGCUGGCGGCGUGCCUAAUACAUGCAAGUCGAGCGAACAGACGAGGAGCUUGCUCCCCUGACGUUAGCGGCGGACGGGUGAGUAACACGUGGAUAACCUACCUAUAAGACUGGGAUAACUUCGGGAAACCGGAGCUAAUACCGGAUAAUAUAUUGAACCGCAUGGUUCAAUAGUGAAAGACGGUUUUGCUGUCACUUAUAGAUGGAUCCGCGCCGCAUUAGCUAGUUGGUAAGGUAACGGCUUACCAAGGCAACGAUGCGUAGCCGACCUGAGAGGGUGAUCGGCCACACUGGAACUGAGACACGGUCCAGACUCCUACGGGAGGCAGCAGUAGGGAAUCUUCCGCAAUGGGCGAAAGCCUGACGGAGCAACGCCGCGUGAGUGAUGAAGGUCUUCGGAUCGUAAAACUCUGUUAUUAGGGAAGAACAAAUGUGUAAGUAACUAUGCACGUCUUGACGGUACCUAAUCAGAAAGCAACGGCUAACUACGUG
rnacentral:rRNA from 1 species